AGGGUUUGAUCAUGGCUCAGGACGAACGCUGGCGGUGCGCCUUAUGCAUGCAAGUUGAGCGAAGCUUUUUGGUAGUUUACUACUAGAAAUGACUGAGCGGCGAACGGGUGAGUAACGCGUGAGCAAUCUACCUUAGUUACUGGGAUAGCCCGAGGAAACUCGGAUUAAUACCGGAUAUUCUUAUUUUUUCACAUGAAGUUUUAAGGAAAGGUCAGCCGAACUAAGAUGAGCUCGCGUUCUAUCAGCUAGUUGGUGGGGUAAAAGCCUACCAAGGCUACGACGGAUAGCUGGUCUGAGAGGACGAUCAGCCACACUGGGACUGAGACACGGCCCAGACUCCUACGGGAGGCUGCAGCAGGGAAUAUUGUGCAAUGAGCGAAAGCUUGACACAGCGACACCGCGUGUGGGAUGACGGUUCUAGGAUUGUAAACCACUUUCAGGAGGGAAGAAAAUGACGGUACCUCCACAAGAAGACCCGGCCAACUAUGUGCCAGCCGCCGCGGUAAUAC
rnacentral:rRNA from 1 species